UAUAUUUGAGAGUUUGAUCCUGGCUCAGGAUGAACGCUGGCGGCGUGCCUAACACAUGCAAGUCGAGCGAACCCUUCGGGGUGAGCGGCGGACGGGUGAGUAACGCGUGGGUAACCUGCCCUGUACACACGGAUAACAUACCGAAAGGUAUGCUAAUACGGGAUAAAGUAUGAGAGUCGCAUGGCUUUUGUAUCAAAGCUCCGGCGGUACAGGAUGGACCCGCGUCUGAUUAGCUAGUUGGUAAGGUAACGGCUUACCAAGGCAACGAUCAGUAGCCGACCUGAGAGGGUGAUCGGCCACAUUGGAACUGAGACACGGUCCAAACUCCUACGGGAGGCAGCAGUGGGGAAUAUUGCACAAUGGGCGAAAGCCUGAUGCAGCAACGCCGCGUGAGCGAUGAAGGCCUUCGGGUCGUAA
rnacentral:rRNA from 1 species